rnacentral:rRNA from 1 species
UACCAGCACCCCGAGUGGUCGGGACGAUUAUGGGCCUAAAGCAUCCGUAGCCGGUCCUACAAGUCUUCCGUUAAACGUCCACCUGCUUAACAGAUGGGCUGCGGAAGAUACUAUAGGGCUAGGAGGCGGGAGAGGCAAGCGGUACUCAGUGGGUAGGGGUAAAAUCCUCUAUCCAUUGAAGACCACCAGUGGCGAAGGCGGCUUGCCAGAACGCGCUACGACGGU